rnacentral:rRNA from 1 species
GACAGAGGGUGCAAACGUUGUUCGGAAUUACUGGGCGUAAAGCGCAUGUAGGCGGCAACGCAAGUCGGGCGUGAAAUCCCACGGCUCACCCGUGGAACUGCUGGGCAUACUGGGCGUCUUGGGCCAACUAGGGGCAGCCGGAACAAGCGGUGGAGCGGUGAAAUGCGUAGAUAUCGCUUGGAACGCCGAAGGUGAAAACAGGCUGCUGGGGUUGUGCCGACGCUGAGACACGAAAGCCAGGGGAGCAAACGGG